rnacentral:rRNA from 2 species
GGCGGACGCUGCUAUACUGCAGUCGAGCGGACAGAAAGGGAGCUUGCUCCUGGACGUUAGCGGCGGACGGGUGAGUAACACGUGGGCAACCUGCCCCUUAGACUGGGAUAACUCCGGGAAACCGGAGCUAAUACCGGAUAAUCCCUUUCUCCACCUGGAGAGAGGGUGAAAGAUGGCUUCGGCUAUCACUAGGGGAUGGGCCCGCGGCGCAUUAGCUAGUUGGUAAGGUAACGGCUUACCAAGGCAACGAUGCGUAGCCGACCUGAGAGGGUGAUCGGCCACACUGGGACUGAGACACGGCCCAGACUCCUACGGGAGGCAGCAGUAGGGAAUCUUCCGCAAUGGACGAAAGUCUGACGGAGCAACGCCGCGUGAGUGAGGAAGGCCUUCGGGUCGUAAAGCUCUGUUGUGAGGGAAGAAGCGGUACCGUUCGAAUAGGGCGGUACCUUGACGGUACCUCACCAGAAAGCCACGGCUAACUACGUGCCAGCAGCCGCGGUAAUACGUAGGUGGCAAGCGUUGUCCGGAAUUAUUGGGCGUAAAGCGCGCGCAGGCGGCUUCUUAAGUCUGAUGUGAAAUCUCGGGGCUCAACCCCGAGCGGCCAUUGGAAACUGGGGAGCUUGAGUGCAGAAGAGGAGAGUGGAAUUCCACGUGUAGCGGUGAAAUGCGUAGAGAUGUGGAGGAACACCAGUGGCGAAGGCGACUCUCUGGUCUGUAACUGACGCUGAGGCGCGAAAGCGUGGGGAGCAAACAGGAUUAGAUACCCUGGUAGUCCACGCCGUAAACGAUGAGUGCUAGGUGUUAGGGGUUUCGAUGCCCGUAGUGCCGAAGUUAACACAU